ACAGGAGGCCUUCCUUCUGUCUUUGGCUCAGGUUACUCUACUUAUGGGCUUCCCUGCUGUCUCAGUGGUAAAGACUCUGCCUGCAAUGCAGGAGAUGCAGGUUCCCUGGGUUGGGAAGAUCCUCUGGAGAAGGGACCAGCAACCCACUCCAGUAUUCUUGCCUGGAAAAUCCCGACAGAGGAGCCUGGGACAUCUUGAUGUAGACAAGCUCCUGAAACAAAUGUACACUGUGCCAUCACCAGCACGGAUACACUGAAAACACCCUUGCCGGCACAGACCUUCCCUAUAACAAGGGUUAUUUAUGUCCUUGGGUAUGGCCCUAACCCACAAACCUCUGCCUGCUGUCCCUCAGAGUAUCUUAAAAAGGCUAAAUUACAUGUGAAAAGAUGAUCAAUGUCGCUAAUCAUCCGGGAAAUACAAUGAGAUAUCACCUUACACCUGUCAGAAUAGCCAUCAUCAAAAA
ensembl:lncRNA